rnacentral:rRNA from 1 species
AUUUCUGUAGGUGAACCUGCGGAGGGAUCAUUACCGAGUUUACAACUCCCAAACCCAAUGUGAACGUUACCAAACUGUUGCCUCGGCGGGGUCACGCCCCGGGUGCGUCGCAGCCCCGGAACCAGGCGCCCGCCGGAGGAACCAACCAAACUCUUUCUGUAGUCCCCUCGCGGACGUAUUUCUUACAGCUCUGAGCAAAAAUUCAAAAUGAAUCAAAACUUUCAACAACGGAUCUCUUGGUUCUGGCAUCGAUGAAGAACGCAGCGAAAUGCGAUAAGUAAUGUGAAUUGCAGAAUUCAGUGAAUCAUCGAAUCUUUGAACGCACAUUGCGCCCGCCAGUAUUCUGGCGGGCAUGCCUGUCCGAGCGUCAUUUCAACCCUCGAACCCCUCCGGGGGAUCGGCGUUGGGGAUCGGGACCCCUCACACGGGUGCCGGCCCCGAAAUACAGUGGCGGUCUCGCCGCAGCCUCUCCUGCGCAGUAGUUUGCACAACUCGCACCGGGAGCGCGGCGCGUCCACGUCCGUAAAACACCCAACUUUCUGAAAUGUUGACCUCGGAUCAGGUAGGAAUACCCGCUGAACUUAAGCAUAUCAAUAAGGCGGAGGAA